rnacentral:lncRNA from 1 species
AAUAUCAUUCAUUUUUUUUUUUUAAGGGAGAAGAUGCAAGGUCAUCCACAUAUCCUUUCUCUCUCUCAUUUGCAUUCAGAUAUACUUUCUUGCGUGGUUGCAAAAGGGGCGAUGUUCGAGCUGAUUUAGGAAAUUGCAAAUGAGUGCCACACAUACAGAUGUCAGCUGUCAGCAGGUGCUCCCAGAAGCCUCAUGGAAAACAGAUUAUACUCAGCUCUCUGGGAUCUGAUGAAUCGAUAUAAUAGGAGGGCUUUGAAAAGCAGAAGUGGAACAUCUAGAUUUCAAGAUGGAUCAAGAAAACCGUCGGAGCUUGAGGGUCCCUGAGAAGCCACCUUCUCCUUGACCCACACACUGCUUGAUCUCUUGGAAACUGCCAACCCUGGAGAGAAGCAUUUUUGACUUCCCGUCUGGCCUGGAUGAAACACAAAGGGAACUUAAGGCAAGAGAUAUUUUAAUGUCUUUUUCUACUUUCUUUCAGUCUCUGUGAUAGCCACCUAAAUCCACAGGCUGAGGGCUAAUGCAUGUGGAAAGGAAACGAAAUCUUCUCAGCAUGUGUGCUCCUCUGACAUUUUGAUUAGCGCAGAGAAAUUGGAAGGCAGCACAUCCCC